rnacentral:lncRNA from 1 species
UGUGCAGCCCCUGUGCAAGGCGUGUGAAGUGUGCAAGCCCCGUGCAAGCUGUGCGAGCCCUGUGUGAGGUUGUGCAAGGUGUGCAAGCCCCGUGCAAGCUGUGCAAGCCCCGUGUGAGGUUGUGCAAGGCGUGCAAGCCCCGUGCAAGGUGUGCGAGCCCCAUGUGAGGUUGUGCAAGGCGUGCAAGCUGUGCAAGGCGUGCAAGCCCCGUGCAAGCUGUGCAAGCCCCGCGUGAGGUUGUGCAAGGUGUGCAAGCCCCAUGCAAGCUGUGCAAGCCCCGCGUGAGGUUGUGCAAGGCGUGCAAGCCCCGUGCAAGCUGUGCAAGCCCCGUGUGAGG